rnacentral:rRNA from 1 species
GUAAGGAAUAUUGGUCAAUGGGCGGAAGCCUGAACCAGCCAUGCCGCGUGCAGGACGACGGCCCUACGGGUUGUAAACUGCUUUUGCCCGGGAAUAACCCCCCGCUCUUGAGCGGGGCUGAACGUACCGGGAGAAUAAGGAUCGGCUAACUCCGUGCCAGCAGCCGCGGUAAUACGGAGGAUCCGAGCGUUAUCCGGAUUUAUUGGGUUUAAAGGGUGCGUAGGCGGCCUGUUAAGUCAGGGGUGAAAUACGGCAGCUCAACUGUCGCAGUGCCCUGGAUACUGACGGGCUUGAAUACCGGUGAAGGCGGCGGAAUGAGACAAGUAGCGGUGAAAUGCAUAGAUAUGUCUCAGAACCCCGAUUGCGAAGGCAGCUGCCUAACCGGCGAUUGACGCUGAUGCACGAAAGCGUGGGGAUCGAACAGGAUUAGAUACCCGAGUAGUCC